rnacentral:rRNA from 1 species
UACGUAGGGGGCAAGCGUUGUCCGGAUUUAUUGGGCGUAAAGCGCGUGUAGGCGGCCAGAAAAGUCCGCUGUGAAAACUCGAGGCUCAACUUCGAGCUGUCGGUGGAAACUUUCUGGCUAGAGUCCGGAAGGGGAGAAUGGAAUUCCUGGUGUAGCGGUGAAAUGCGCAGAUAUCAGGAAGAACACCCGUGGCGAAGGCGGUUCUCUGGGACGGUACUGACGCUGAGACGCGAAAGCGUGGGGAGCGAACAGG